rnacentral:rRNA from 1 species
AGAGAGUGCAAGCGUUAAUCGGGAAUAACUGGGGCGUAAAGCGCGCGUAGGUGGAUACUUUAGUCGGAUGUGAAAGCCCUGGGGGCUUAACCUGGGGAAUUGCACUCGAUACUGGGUAUCUUGAGUAUGGUAGAGGGAAGUGGAAUUUCAGGUGUAGCGGUGAAAUGCGUAGAUAUCUGAAGGAACACCAGUGGCGAAGGCGGCUUCCUGGACUGAUACUGACACUGAGGCGCGAAAGCGUGGGGAGCAAACAGGAUUAGAUACCCUGGUAGUCCACGCCGUAAACGAUGAGAACUAGCCGUUUGAGAGUUUAUCUUUUGAGUGGCGCAGCUAACGCGAUAAGUUCUCCACCUGGGGAGUACGGCCGCAAGGCUA